rnacentral:lncRNA from 1 species
CUUUGGGUGGUGAUCUUGACACACUUCAGAGAAGUCUGACUGUUGAGCAGCUUCCCCUGUGGGAGAAAAACAACAGACCCUAUGGCUCACAUCCCAACCCAUCCUGUCUCAUCCUGUCUCCUGCCUAUUGAGGGGAAUAUAUAUUUGAAUCUCUGCCUCUUUGCUCCUUCUUACCUAACAGAUUUUCAGUCCAAGAGAAGAGGCUCUUCUAUUUAGGUCCUGAGGUUACAGACUAAAUAUCUGGGAAUGAUCCAGUUGGAGGCUGUGUUAUGGACACCUCAUUCCAGAAGACAAUCAAUGAAUCUCAACUUUGUCAUGUCUCCUGGGACAGAGACUUGCAGCAGUUUUGGGGUCUCCAGGGAGGACUGAAGCCUUACCAUACAAUCUCACAGAUCUGUUGUGUACUUG